UUGACUGGGGCGGUCUCCUCCUAAAGAGUAACGGAGGAGCACGAAGGUUGGCUAAUCCUGGUCGGACAUCAGGAGGUUAGUGCAAUGGCAUAAGCCAGCUUGACUGCGAGCGUGACGGCGCGAGCAGGUGCGAAAGCAGGUCAUAGUGAUCCGGUGGUUCUGAAUGGAAGGGCCAUCGCUCAACGGAUAAAAGGUACUCCGGGGAUAACAGGCUGAUACCGCCCAAGAGUUCAUAUCGACGGCGGUGUUUGGCACCUCGAUGUCGGCUCAUCACAUCCUGGGGCUGAAGUAGGUCCCAAGGGUAUGGCUGUUCGCCAUUUAAAGUGGUACGCGAGCUGGGUUUAGAACGUCGUGAGACAGUUCGGUCCCUAUCUGCCGUGGGCGCUGGAGAACUGAGGGGGGCUGCUCCUAGUACGAGAGGACCGGAGUGGACGCAUCACUGGUGUUCGGGUUGUCAUGCCAAUGGCACUGCCCGGUAGCUAAAUGCGGAAGAGAUAAGUGCUGAAAGCAUCUAAGCACGAAACUUGCCCCGAGAUGAGUUCUCCCUGACUCCUUGAGAGUCCUGAAGGAACGUUGAAGACGACGACGUUGAUAGGCCGGGUGUGUAAGCGCAGCGAUGCGUUGAGCUAACCGGUACUAAUGAACCGUGAGGCUUAACCUUACAACGCCG
rnacentral:rRNA from 1 species